AUUGAACGCUGGCGGCAAGCCUAACACAUGCAAGUCGAACGAGUGGCGGAAGGGUGAGUAAUGUCUGGGAAACUGCAUGAUGGAGGGGGAUAACUACUGGAAAAGGUAGCUAAUAACGAAUACCAUCGGAUGUGCCCAGAUGGGAUUAUCUAGUAGGGGGGGUAAAGGCUCACCUAGGCGACGAUCCCUAGCUGGUCUGAGAGGAUGACCAGCCACACUGGAACUGAGACACGGUCCAGACUCCUACGGGAGGCAGCAUUAGGGAAUAUUGCACAAUGGUCGCAAGCCUGAUGCAGCCAUGCCGCGUGUAUGAAGAAGGCCUUCGGGUUGUAAAGUACUUUCAGCGGGGAGGCGUUACCCGCAGAAGAAGCACCGGCUAACUCCGUGCCAGCCGCCGCGGUAAUAC
rnacentral:rRNA from 1 species